rnacentral:tRNA from 1 species
GGGGCAGUAACUCAAUGGUAGAGCUCCCGAUUCAUAUGCGGGAAGACCUGGGUUCGAUUCCCGGCUGCUUUC